AACGAACGCUGGCGGCGUGCUUAACACAUGCAAGUCGAACGGUAAGGCCCUUCGGGGUACAAGAGUGGCGAACGGGUGAGUAACACGUGGGUGAUCUGCCCUGCACUUCGGGAUAAGCCUGGGAAACUGGGUCUAAUACCGGAUAGGACCCUGGGAUGCAUGUCCUGGGGUGGAAAGCUUUUGCGGUGUGGGAUGGGCCCGCGGCCUAUCAGCUUGUUGGUGGGGUGAUGGCCUACCAAGGCGACGACGGGUAGCCGGCCUGAGAGGGUGACCGGCCACACUGGGACUGAGAUACGGCCCAGACUCCUACGGGAGGCAGCAGUGGGGAAUAUUGCACAAUGGGCGCAAGCCUGAUGCAGCGACGCCGCGUGAGGGAUGACGGCCUUCGGGUUGUAAACCUCUUUCAGCACCGACGAAGCGCAAGUGACGGUAGGUGCAGAAGAAGGACCGGCCAACUACGUGCCAGCAGCCGCCGUAA
rnacentral:rRNA from 1 species